rnacentral:rRNA from 1 species
UACAGAGGGGGCAAGCGUUGUUCGGAAUUACUGGGCGUAAAGGGCGCGUAGGCGGCCGCCUAAGUCAGACGUGAAAUCCCCAGGCUCAACCUGGGAAUUGCCUUUGAAACUGUUAAGCUUGAGUACUGGAGGGGAUGGUGGAAUUUCUAAUGUAGCGGUGAAAUGCGUAGAUAUUAGAAGGAACACCGGUGGCGAAGGCGACCAUCUGGACAGUAACUGACACUGAGGCGCGAAAGCGUGGGGAUCAAACAGG